rnacentral:rRNA from 1 species
CCUACGGGUGGCAGCAGUGAGGAAUAUUGGUCAAUGGACGCAAGUCUGAACCAGCCAUGCCGCGUGCAGGAAGACGGCCCUAUGAGUUGUAAACUGCUUUUGUACGAGGGUAAACCCAGAUACGCGUAUCUGUUUGAAAGUAUCGUACGAAUAAGGAUCGGCUAACUCCGUGCCAGCAGCCGCGGUAAUACGGAGGAUUCAAGCGUUAUCCGGAUUUAUUGGGUUUAAAGGGUGCGUAGGCGGUUUGAUAAGUUAGUGGUGAAAUCUCGGGGCUCAACAUCGAAAUUGCCUGUGAUACUGGUAGGCUAGAGAAUAGUUGCGGUAGGCGGAAUGUAUGGUGUAGCGGUGAAAUGCUUAGAGAUCAUACAGAACACCGAUUGCGAAGGCAGCUUACCAAGCUACUUCUGACGUUGAGGCACGAAAGCGUGGGGAGCAAACAGGAUUAGAUACCCUAGUAGUC